GGAAUUUUCCGCAAUGGGCGAAAGCCUGACGGAGCAACGCCGCGUGAGGGAUGAAGGCCUCUGGGCUGUAAACCUCUUUUAUCAAGGAAGAAGAUCUGACGGUACUUGACGAAUAAGCCACGGCUAAUUCCGUGCCAGCAGCCGCGGUAAUACGGGAGUGGCAAGCGUUAUCCGGAAUUAUUGGGCGUAAAGCGUCCGCAGGCGGCCCAGAAAGUCUGCUGUUAAAAAGUGGAGCUUAACUCCAUCAUGGCAGUGGAAACUUCUGGGCUAGAGUGUGGUAGGGGCAGAGGGAAUUCCCGGUGUAGCGGUGAAAUGCGUAGAUAUCGGGAAGAACACCAGUGGCGAAGGCGCUCUGCUGGGCCAUAACUGACGCUCAUGGACGAAAGCCAGGGGAGCGAAAGGGAUUAGAUACCCCAGUAGUC
rnacentral:rRNA from 1 species